rnacentral:rRNA from 1 species
CAGCCGCCGCGGGAAAACGUAGGAGGCAAGCGUUGUCCGGAAUUAUUGGGCGUAAAGGGCUCGCAGGCGGUUUCUUAAGUCUGAUGUGAAAGCCCCCGGCUCAACCGGGGAGGGUCAUUGGAAACUGGGAAACUUGAGUGCAGAAGAGGAGAGUGGAAUUCCACGUGUAGCGGUGAAAUGCGUAGAGAUGUGGAGGAACACCAGUGGCGAAGGCGACUCUCUGGUCUGUAACUGACGCUGAGGAGCGAAAGCGUGGGGAGCGAACAGGAUUAGAUACCCCCGUAGUCCCUGUCUCUUAUAC